rnacentral:sRNA from 2 species
GAAAUAGACGGCUAGGGUUCCGGCUCCCUCAGAUGAAGGGGAGUGACUGGUCCGAGAGCUGUCGACCUUCCUCGCGGAGGUUACACGGAGGGAUAAAAGCCCGGGAGAU